UAGACUGCAACUAGUUUACAUUAGAGUCCAUAAAAGUAAACCAAGUGAACAUUUUAAUUGACCACGUUUCGUUUUUUUUAACUUUGAAUCCCGGAAGUAAUCUAACGUUAUGUGAAUAUGGGGUGACUUUAUCAACGUUAUCACGUCAGGUUUGACAGGGUUUGUGAUGCAUUGUAUAACUCAUCGUCGACCGUUUUGGGAAGUAAAAUAUAUUCACUUUAAUUUGCAUGAACAUAAGCAACGAACAGGGCGCAACUUUGACUGAAGUCGUGUUGUUAUUGUUGUCGAUGGAAAUCUUAUCAAUGUUUGGGCUUCGUCUGUCCCUAAAGCAAAGAUAUUGUCUCCUGCUGUGUGUUGCUGUCGGAGCGAUCCUUGCUUAUCGGUUUACAAGGAAUCGACCUGAGGUAGUAAGAAUGAAGCGUGCGGAGGGUCUGAGGGCCAACUCGUCUCAGUUCACUCUGGAGGGAAAACCCUUCCACAUCCUGGGGGGCUCCAUCCAUUACUUCCGUGUCCCCAGAGCCUACUGGGAGGACCGGCUGCUGAAGAUGAAGGCCUGUGGCCUCAAUACUCUGACAACGUAUGUGCCAUGGAAUAUGCACGAGCCUGAGCGAGGGGUGUUCAACUUUGAGGAUCAGUUGGAUUUGGAAGCUUACCUCCGUCUUGCAGCCAGCUUGGGCCUCUGGGUGAUUCUGCGUCCAGGGCCGUACAUCUGUGCAGAGUGGGAUUUAGGUGGCCUACCCAGUUGGCUACUACGAGAUAAAAACAUGAAACUGAGAACAACCUACCCAGGAUUCACUGAUGCCGUUAACUCCUUCUUUAAUCAUCUCAUUGAGAAAGUUGUUCCACAUCAGUACUCCAAGGGUGGCCCAAUUAUCGCAGUUCAAGUGGAGAAUGAGUAUGGCUCCUAUGCCAAAGAUGACAAAUACAUGCCUUUCAUCAAGGAGUCGUUGUUGUCAAGAGGCAUCUCAGAGCUGCUGCUGACCUCAGACAACAAGGAAGGACUAAAGCUUGGAGGAGUGAAAGGAGCACUAGAAACCAUCAAUUUCCAGAAGUUUAACCCAAAGGACAUCAAGUAUCUGGAUGAGAUACAACCUCACAAGCCGAAGAUGGUGAUGGAGUACUGGUCUGGCUGGUUCGAUCUUUGGGGGGACCUUCAUCAUGUCUACCCAGCUGAGGACAUGUUACCUGUGGUCACAGAGAUCCUUAAACUGAACAUGUCCAUCAACCUCUACAUGUUCCACGGUGGGACAAAUUUUGGCUUUAUGGGCGGAGCGUUCGCCGUUGGAAUGCCGGCACCUAAAGCUAUGGUGACAAAUUAUGAUUACGAUGCUCCAUUAUCCGAGGUGGGGGAUUACACCACCAAGUACCAUCUUCUGAGGAAUGUAUUCAGCCAGUACCACGCCCAGCCUCUCACCGUGCUGCCUCCUCAUCAGGACAGGAGAGUGUACCAGCCUGUUUCCAUCCAGCAGCACCUGUCUCUGUGGGUCAGUCUGCAAUUCACUGACAAGGCCUUUAAGUCAGAGAGGCCGGUGAGCAUGGAGAACCUCCCUGUCAACAACAACAACGGCCAGUCUUACGGCUACACGCUGUACGAGACCACCAUCAGCAGCGAAGGGACCCUCAACUCCAAGAACAACAUCAGAGACAGAGCCCUGGUUUAUGUGGACAAACAUUUUGUUGGUGUUCUGGAUUAUAAGACGCAAGAACUUGCAGUCCCUUACGGAAAGGGAAAAAGAACUCUAAGUUUACUCGUGGAGAACUGUGGAAGAGUGAAUUAUGGGAAAACCCUGGAUGAGCAGCGCAAAGGUCUUGUUGGAGAUAUCGAGUUGAACAAGAACCCCCUCCGUGACUUUGUUAUCCAUAGUCUGGAUAUGAAGCCUGGCUUUGUAAACAGACUUGAGGGUACUGGCCAUUGGAUUUCUUUGCGUCAGCAGCGGCCCUCCUUCCCGGGGUUUUUCCAGGCAAAACUCUACGUGAACAGUUCUCCUAAAGACACCUUCAUCAAACUCCCUCAUUUCAUUGGCCGAACCUGCCUGUUGUCAUGGUGACGGUCACUGGUUGUGUUCACAGGGCUGGGGCAAAGGUGUAGUGUUUAUUAACGGCAGGAAUCUGGGACGCUACUGGUCCGUCGGUCCUCAGCAGACUCUCUAUGUCCCGGGGCCCUGGCUCCACAGGGGGAACAACCAGGUCACUGUGUUUGAAGAGCAGGAAACAGAUGGCAGGAUUCAGUUCUCCAGCAGCCCGGACUAUGGCAUGUCAGUUGAUGUCCAGUGAGGACAGAAGGUGAGAGGGCAGUGCGGAUGAGGAGAGGAGGAUGCUGGGAGUGUAGCUGGGAAACCGAGGCAACGGCUCAGGCGAUUACAGCGAGCUUCGUCUGCUCAGGCUCUGAUGGCGUGUCACGACCAGCAGAUCUGAAAAGUGACACGGAGCAGCGAGGAUGACUUUUGGUUUCCCAUCGGAAGAAUUCAACAAUGCAGUGAUCCAGACUUGGGGAGUGCUUUUUCCAAAUUAGAGGAUCCUUCAUAUUGAACCAUGGACUGAGUAUUUUCUUCACAUGAUUCUAAAAAGAUACAUGUGCAUAUCCUCCACGCUCCUAAAAGACCCACAAGCCUACACACAAUGCAUUUCCUGUCCCCUGUUUUUGGGUAAAAGAGGAUAAAUCACCGGUUUUUAUUUAAUGCGAGAAAUGGGUAUUCCAGUUGCUUAAUCUUAACUCAUAUUAGACCUGCACACUUGGUGAGUUAAGAAGUUAAUUUAAAUAUAACAGAGGAGUUGGUAAUAGUGGAAGUAAAAAAAAAUCAAGGGUGGUUUUGAUUAGUUCUACUUUGUUUUUGUCGUGUUCGAAGGAAGUAUGCUAUAUAACGAUCAGCAAGGUAAAAGGACUGUUUCUGUAAUUGGAGUCUGGUGGCUUUGUAGAGAGCAUAAUGGCAGUUUCUUAUUACAUUUCACUUGGAGAAUGAAGGGCUUAUUUAGACAGAACCGGACGUGGUGGUAAUUGCAACAACUUGAAUUUUAUUUUGUUUCAGUCAAGUUUAAAAUGUGUGUGUGAUGAUCAGGUAAAAUUAUGGUUUCUGUCAAAAGAUACUUAUGGCUUUGAGAAGAGCAUAUUCAUUGUUUGUUUUGUAAGUUAAUCACUUAUAAUACUUGCCAAAACUUAUUGUCAAUGAAGCCUUGCGCUUUUUAAUCUGUUGAUAUUGUAAAAAAAUAACCUGAUUUGUUGAGAAACACCCAACAGUUUUCAUUUAAUGACUGUAUUUAUGCCAAGGGAUGUAUAAUUAUUUCUAUCACGGUAUUAUUAUUUCUCCAAUGUCAUUAACGUUCAUUCAAAUACUUUAUUUUUGGAGACCAAGAGACUGUCGUUGAUAAUAAUGAAGUGAAAAUCUCCUCCUCCAACACACUUAAUUGAUAAAUUCCAGGCUGUGUAAUAAUGGUGAAUAAAUGCAGUUCGACCUCUGUAUCAGAAGCCAAGGAUGCUUUUGAACUCUUUCAUUUGAACUGCACACCGACCACCUGUUUGAUAUAAAACGAGUUGCUUCUGUCCUCUCUUAUGAUAUGCUCCUGCAGAGAAGUCAAGAUCACAAGCAUGUGUUUGAAGUGUUUUUUCAAAAGUCAUCUCUAUGUGCGUGCUUUGCCAACAGACCUACCAUCACAAUUCUUCCCUUUAAAGAUUGAUGCCACAGUGACACUGUGCUUCAACAUUUCAGUCUUUUAUCGCCUAGAAAAAUGUGAGGUGCAUGAGUUGCAUUUGUGCCAACUCUUGUUAACUUUUAAGGGCGCUGAGACAGUUUGUUCUUGAGAUUUUAAAGUAAAUAUGCUAACCAACAUGUGUAGGCUUUUACUUAAACAUUUCCCCAACAACUUAAUGCCAUAUUUCCCAUCCACUGAUAUUACAUUGCUAAACUUUACACAAAUAAGGUAAGGUGAGCAUAAUUCGUUUUUCUCUAAUAAUGUAAAAAAUACUUUUAAAUGAUACAUGUAUAUUUCUCUAUGUAUGCAAAUGUAUUAAACAAUUAAUGCGGACAUUGACAAUGGAUUAGUGCAUGCUUUAGAACAUCAUUUUUUUGUUGUUGAUUUAAAUAUUACAAUCUUAGCUAAAAUAAUUACUGUGUGUUAAUUGUGCAGCCUAAUUUA